GUGCUUGCUUCGGCAGCACAUGUACUAAAAUUGGAACAAUACAGAGAAGAUUAGCUUGGUCCCUGUGCCAGGAUGACACACAAAUAUAUUUCUUCAGAAUAU
rnacentral:snRNA from 1 species